rnacentral:rRNA from 1 species
UACGUAGGUGACAAGCGUUGUCCGGAUUUACUGGGCGUAAAGAGCGCGCAGGCGGUCGAUCAAGUCGAGUGUGAAAGCCCCCGGCUCAACUGGGGAGGGUCAUUCGAUACUGAUCGACUCGAAGGCAGGAGAGGGUAGUGGAAUUCCCGGUGUAGUGGUGAAAUGCGUAGAUAUCGGGAGGAACACCAGUGGCGAAGGCGACUACCUGGCCUGUUCUUGACGCUGAGGCGCGAAAGCUAGGGGAGCAAACGGGAUUAAGAU